rnacentral:rRNA from 1 species
GAUUUCGGUUGAUCUGCCGGAGCCUGCUAUCUAAUCGACUAAGCCAUGCAGUCUAACCGAGGUUGGCGCAAAGCUCAUUAACACGUAAUAAUCUACCCUUGGGAGGAGGAUAAACCCGGGAAACUGGGCUCAAUACUCCAUAGGCGUGUAUGCUGGAAUGCUUCAACACUUAAAGCCUCGGCGCCCAAGGAUGAGUCUGCGGCUGAUCAGGUAGUUGGUAAGCUAAAGCCUUAUCAAGCCUAUAAUCAGUACGGGCCUUGAGAGAGGAAGCCCGGAGAUGGAUUCUGACACAACAAUCCAGGUCCUACGGGACGCAGCAGGCGCGAAACUUUCGCAAUGCACGAAAGUGUGACAAGGAACUUAAUGCCUUCUCUUUUAGAGGAGGCUUUGUCAAGUGUAAAAGCUUGGCGAAUAAGGGUGGGUAACACAGGUGCACCGCGCGGUAUACUGGCCCUAUGUGACGCUAUAUUGGGGGGUUUUAAAAGGGCCGUUUCCGCUAGGCCCGGGAUAAGGUUAAGUCCCC